GAUGAACGCUGGCGGCGUGCCUAAUACAUGCAAGUCGAGCGAACGGACGAGAAGCUUGCUUCUCUGAUGUUAGCGGCGGACGGGUGAGUAACACGUGGAUAACCUACCUAUAAGACUGGGAUAACUUCGGGAAACCGUAGCUAAUACCGGAUAAUAUUUUGAACCGCAUGGUUCAAAAGUGAAAGACGGUCUUGCUGUCACUUAUAGAUGGAUCCGCGCUGCAUUAGCUAGUUGGUAAGGUAACGGCUUACCAAGGCAACGAUGCAUAGCCGACCUGAGAGGGUAAUCGGCCACACUGGAACUGAGACACGGUCCAGACUCCUACGGGAGGCAGCAGUAGGGAAUCUUCCGCAAUGGGCGAAAGCCUGACGGAGCAACGCCGCGUGAGUGAUGAAGGUCUUCGGAUCGUAAAACUCUGUUAUUAGGGAAGAACAUAUGUGUAAGUAACUGUGCACAUCUUGACGGUACCUAAUCAGAAAGCCACGGCUAACUACGUGC
rnacentral:rRNA from 1 species